rnacentral:rRNA from 1 species
UAAGGAAGGUGCUGAAUUCACGCUGGCGAGAAAGGCUGCUAUGGAGCGAAGGAGUGCCCGUACCGCAAACCGACACAGGUAGGCGAGGAGAGAAUCCUAAGACGAGCGGGAGAACCCUUGUUAAGGAACUCGGCAAAAUAGCCCCGUAACUUCGGGAAAAGGGGAGCCUCGAGAGAGGCCGCAGAGAAUAGGCCCAAGCGACUGUUUAGCAAAAACACAGGUCUGUGCGAAGUAGAGAUACGACGUAUACGGGCUGACGCCUGCCCAGUGCUGGAAGGUUAAGGGGAAGUGUCAGGGGGAGACCCCGAAGCACGGAACUUAAGCCCCAGUGAACGGCGGCCGUAACUAUAACGGUCCUAAGGUAGCGAAAUUCCUUGUCGGGUAAGUUCCGACCCGCACGAGUGGCGUAACGACUUGGGCACUGUCUCAACAAGGGACCCGGCGAAAUUGUAGUAUGCGUGAAGAUGCGCAUUACCCGCGAUAGGACGGAAAGACCCCGUAGAGCUUUACUGUAGCUUGGUAUUGACUUUGGCAACAGAUGUACAGGAUAGGUGGGAGGCAUGGAAGCGAGGACGCCAGUUUUCGUGGAGCCAUCCUUGGGAUACCACUCUUCUGUUGCUGAAGUUCUAACGUGCGGCCGUGAACCGGCGCAUGGACAGUGCCAGGUGGGCAGUUUGACUGGGGCGGUCGCCUCCGAAAGAGUAACGGAGGCGUCCAAAGGUUCCCUCAGAAUGGUUGGAAACCAUUCGUGGAGUAUAAAGGCAGAAGGGAGCCUGACUGCGAGAGAGACAUCUCGAGCAGGGAGGAAACUCGGGCUUAGUGAUCCGGCGGUAUGAGAGUGGAAUUGCCGUCGCUCAACGGAUAAAAGCUACCUCGGGGAUAACUGGCUUAUCUCCCCCAAGAGUCCACAUCGACGGGGAGGUUUGGCACCUCGAUGUCGGCUCGUCGCAUCCUGGGGCUGGAGCAGGUCCCAAGGGUUUGGCUGUUCGCCAAUUAAAGCGGCACGCGAGCUGGGUUCAGAACGUCGUGAGACAGUUCGGUCCCUAUCCAUCGUGGGCGCAGGAGAUUUGAGAGGAGCUGUCCUUAGUACGAGAGGACCGGGAUGGACGCACCAAGGGUGUAUCAGUUGUCGUGCCAACGGCAUUGCUGGGUAGCCAAGUGCGGAGCGGAUAAACGCUGAAGGCAUCUAAGCGUGAGGCCGACCUCAAGACAAGAUCUCCCAUCCAGAAAUGGAGUAAGACCCCUGGAAGACUACCAGGUUGAUAGGCCGGAGGUGGAAGUGCAGUAAUGUAUGAAGCUGACCGGUACUAAUAGGUCGAGGGCUUGAUC